UGUACCCUCUCUUCCUCUCUGCUUUCACCCAUAAUCUGGAAUGCGCUUUGUUAGGAGAUGUAAUUGAAUGGGUUGGAUAUUAGGAAUGUUUUCUACUCUGGAAGAGGUGAGGCACCAGCACAGGCUGUCCAGGGAGUGGUGGGGUCACCAUCCCUAGAGGUGCUCCACAUCCAUAGGGAUGUGGCACUGAGGGACGAGGCUAUGGGCAUGGUGGGUUGGAAUUGGACUUGUGGAUCUUAGAGAUCUUUUCAGCCUUCACGAUUCUAGAGACCCAGCCUCUCCUCUCUGUGGCAGUAACCUUUAAAUUGUGAGUUCUCAUUGCAAAAGCUCCUCAGUUGGGUGGAAUUUCGCCCUGUGCUCUGCACCAACUCAAAGCACUAGCUGAAUUUCUUCCUAUUCCUGCUGUGAAUGUUAGGUCAGGUGCCUUUUAGCAUGCUGUUUACCUCGUCCCUGGGUGCUUCAUUCACUCCCAUGAAAAAUAAGUAAAUCACUUCCACUCAUAACAAAAAAAAAAAUCUUUGCUCUUUUUAUCUCUUUAAAAUGUACCUGACUGGCUGAGAUUAUGCCUGGAAUAUUUUUCACCUCUCUUUCUCCUGUCGAGCAAAAUCAAAGCUCCUGAGCUCCACAAGGCUGCUGCUGAUCUAAGUACAAUCUCUGCUAAUCACUGCAGCCUGCAGGUGAUUGACUUCAGGCACUUCCAGAGGACAUGGUCAAAGCUGACCGCAGGGCACGGGGCUUGUGGAGAUGAGCUCCAGCUGGGUUUGGCCCUCCAGCUCAGAGAGAUCAGCUGGAAAAUACAAGCUGUAGCCAAUGGACUCAGGGAAGAGCUGGAAGGACUCAAUAGAAGUGAGUGUGAGGCAUAGAGAAAAAGGAUGCUUGAUGCUGCUGGGUAGGAGCUGAGGCAAGUAGGAGGGAACUGGAGGAUACAAAGGCAGGAAUGCAUCUGGAGGGGACUUGUAGAAGGAGAUCCUGUGCUCUGCUGGCCCAUUUCUUUUGGCUAACCUCCAUAAAACCUCUGCAGUUUCUUCUACCCACAUCCACUGCUAAGAAAAGAGAAGCCUCCACUCAGGAGGAUUUAGCAUUCUGAUUUUCCUGGAAAGAAGAUUCCCAGCACGUAAGAGAGUUUACAGAACCUGCUCUGAUGCUUCUUCAAAAAAAUUCCAUGCAGGCUUGGUGAGAUAUUUUGGACAGAGAAUGAUGCUGAGAAGAUGCACCAUCAGCACCUUGGACCUGAGCAUCGCAGAGGCUCCACAGUAGAGAGAUCUGUGCCAGCUCUGCAUGAACCUGUCCCAUACUUAACAGCAGGAGCAGCCAUUCCCAUUGCUCUGGGUAACACACGUUCCCUCUCAUGCUGCUGGUAGCACUCAGGUUGCCUGGAACUGGGUAACAAUUAACAUUAAGUGACUGGGAAGUGAGUGUUGGACCCUCUCUGAGAGAGAGAUCUGCAUAAAUCUCUGCAGGGCUGGGAUAUCUGCAGAAUUAUCUCUUAACCGCCUUAGCUGUCCCUCUGGGGCUUGCAGGUUCUCCUUGGGGUACAGCCAAGUAUUUCCAUGGAUGCUGAAAUGUGGCUGCUGGAAAUCCAUACUGUUACACUUUGUUAAAGGAUGUCCAGGGACAGGCAUGGGAAGAAGUUAGGCUGAUUGCAAACACUUCAUUUCCUCCAGAAAUCAGCCUAGAAUUCUCUCCGGCACAUACAGGCUAACUGUGAGAGCUCAGGGUGUUUGCAGGGCUGUUUGCUAGCUAUGAGCUAGCAGUACAUGCUAUAAGAGCAUCUUUGCAAGGCUGCAGACCUCCUCUACCCUGCAAGAGGUACCACCACUGCCUUGUACUCUGAUGUGUGAUGCUUUAUUUCCACACACCACAGAAACACAGAAAUUGGAUGUUUAGCUGACUGACAAUGGCAAGUUGUGAUAUACAGCACUUUUCAAGCAUUUAUUCCCCUGGUCUUGUCUAUAAGCCAUGAAGGAACUGAUCUGAACACAUUUCUCCCUUUGCUUGCCUGAGGCUCCCAUUCCUCCUUCAAUGUACUUUUUCAAAUUUCUUUUGAGAACCAAUACUUUCAAAUAAGCUAAUAGAGAAUAUAUAAUGAAAUAUGAGGAGAAUUCUGUGGAGCCCAAUGUCUCGUUGUGUUCCCAGUUCACCUCCUUGCCUCAGGUUCCCUUUGUUCCCCCUCCAUCCACCCACCAGCCUUCCCGUUUGUUCUUUCUCCUUUUGACUGCCCACUUUCACAUUUGUUUUGGCUUUCCUUCAGUCUUUUAAUGCUGCAUCUAUUCCUUGAAUCCACUAUAGUUUGACAUUCUGUUUCAUGAGUCACCACUGGGGACAGAGUUUGAAGGAGAUCAAAUCGCACAAACUAGUUCUUACAAUUGCCAAAAGCUAAUUUGAAUUCGUGCUCUUUAUUCCCUGGAUAAACCUUUGUGGAUUCUUUCCUCUAUGCAUUUGCCUCAGAAGAUGAUGCAG